rnacentral:rRNA from 1 species
AGUGAACGCUGGCGGUAGGCCUAACACAUGCAAGUCGAACGGCAGCACAGUAAGAGCUUGCUCUUACGGGUGGCGAGUGGCGGACGGGUGAGGGAUACAUCGGAAUCUACUUUUUCGUGGGGGAUAACGUAGGGAAACUUACGCUAAUACCGCAUACGACCUACGGGUGAAAGCAGGGGAUCUUCGGACCUUGCGCGAUUGAAUGAGCCGAUGUCGGAUUAGCUAGUUGGCGGGGUAAAGGCCCACCAAGGCGACGAUCCGUAGCUGGUCUGAGAGGAUGAUCAGCCACACUGGAACUGAGACACGGUCCAGACUCCUACGGGAGGCAGCAGUGGGGAAUAUUGGACAAUGGGCGCAAGCCUGAUCCAGCCAUACCGCGUGGGUGAAGAAGGCCUUCGGGUUGUAAAGCCCUUUUGUUGGGAAAGAAAAGCAGCAGGUUAAUACCCCGCUGUUCUGACGGUACCCAAAGAAUAAGCACCGGCUAACUUCG